GGUUAAGCGACUAAGCGUACACGGUGGAUGCCCUGGCAGUCAGAGGCGAUGAAGGACGUGCUAAUCUGCGAUAAGCGUCGGUAAGGUGAUAUGAACCGUUAUAACCGGCGAUUUCCGAAUGGGGAAACCCAGUGUGUUUCGACACACUAUCAUUAACUGAAUCCAUAGGUUAAUGAGGCGAACCGGGGGAACUGAAACAUCUAAGUACCCCGAGGAAAAGAAAUCAACCGAGAUUCCCCCAGUAGCGGCGAGCGAACGGGGAGCAGCCCAGAGCCUGAAUCAGUGUGUGUGUUAGUGGAAGCGUCUGGAAAGGCGCGCGAUACAGGGUGACAGCCCCGUACACAAAAAUGCACAUGCUGUGAGCUCGAUGAGUAGGGCGGGACACGUGGUAUCCUGUCUGAAUAUGGGGGGACCAUCCUCCAAGGCUAAAUACUCCUGACUGACCGAUAGUGAACCAGUACCGUGAGGGAAAGGCGAAAAGAACCCCGGCGAGGGGAGUGAAAAAGAACCUGAAACCGUGUACGUACAAGCAGUGGGAGCACGCUUAGGCGUGUGACUGCGUACCUUUUGUAUAAUGGGUCAGCGACUUAUAUUCUGUAGCAAGGUUAACCGAAUAGGGGAGCCGAAGGGAAACCGAGUCUUAACUGGGCGUUAAGUUGCAGGGUAUAGACCCGAAACCCGGUGAUCUAGCCAUGGGCAGGUUGAAGGUUGGGUAACACUAACUGGAGGACCGAACCGACUAAUGUUGAAAAAUUAGCGGAUGACUUGUGGCUGGGGGUGAAAGGCCAAUCAAACCGGGAGAUAGCUGGUUCUCCCCGAAAGCUAUUUAGGUAGCGCCUCGUGAAUUCAUCUCCGGGGGUAGAGCACUGUUUCGGCAAGGGGGUCAUCCCGACUUACCAACCCGAUGCAAACUGCGAAUACCGGAGAAUGUUAUCACGGGAGACACACGGCGGGUGCUAACGUCCGUCGUGAAGAGGGAAACAACCCAGACCGCCAGCUAAGGUCCCAAAGUCAUGGUUAAGUGGGAAACGAUGUGGGAAGGCCCAGACAGCCAGGAUGUUGGCUUAGAAGCAGCCAUCAUUUAAAGAAAGCGUAAUAGCUCACUGGUCGAGUCGGCCUGCGCGGAAGAUGUAACGGGGCUAAACCAUGCACCGAAGCUGCGGCAGCGACGCUUAUGCGUUGUUGGGUAGGGGAGCGUUCUGUAAGCCUGUGAAGGUGUGCUGUGAGGCAUGCUGGAGGUAUCAGAAGUGCGAAUGCUGACAUAAGUAACGAUAAAGCGGGUGAAAAGCCCGCUCGCCGGAAGACCAAGGGUUCCUGUCCAACGUUAAUCGGGGCAGGGUGAGUCGACCCCUAAGGCGAGGCCGAAAGGCGUAGUCGAUGGGAAACAGGUUAAUAUUCCUGUACUUGGUGUUACUGCGAAGGGGGGACGGAGAAGGCUAUGUUGGCCGGGCGACGGUUGUCCCGGUUUAAGCGUGUAGGCUGGUUUUCCAGGCAAAUCCGGAAAAUCAAGGCUGAGGCGUGAUGACGAGGCACUACGGUGCUGAAGCAACAAAUGCCCUGCUUCCAGGAAAAGCCUCUAAGCAUCAGGUAACAUCAAAUCGUACCCCAAACCGACACAGGUGGUCAGGUAGAGAAUACCAAGGCGCUUGAGAGAACUCGGGUGAAGGAACUAGGCAAAAUGGUGCCGUAACUUCGGGAGAAGGCACGCUGAUAUGUAGGUGAAGCGACUUGCUCGUGGAGCUGAAAUCAGUCGAAGAUACCAGCUGGCUGCAACUGUUUAUUAAAAACACAGCACUGUGCAAACACGAAAGUGGACGUAUACGGUGUGACGCCUGCCCGGUGCCGGAAGGUUAAUUGAUGGGGUCAGCGCAAGCGAAGCUCUUGAUCGAAGCCCCGGUAAACGGCGGCCGUAACUAUAACGGUCCUAAGGUAGCGAAAUUCCUUGUCGGGUAAGUUCCGACCUGCACGAAUGGCGUAAUGAUGGCCAGGCUGUCUCCACCCGAGACUCAGUGAAAUUGAACUCGCUGUGAAGAUGCAGUGUACCCGCGGCAAGACGGAAAGACCCCGUGAACCUUUACUAUAGCUUGACACUGAACAUUGAGCCUUGAUGUGUAGGAUAGGUGGGAGGCUUUGAAGUGUGGACGCCAGUCUGCAUGGAGCCGACCUUGAAAUACCACCCUUUAAUGUUUGAUGUUCUAACGUUGACCCGUAAUCCGGGUUGCGGACAGUGUCUGGUGGGUAGUUUGACUGGGGCGGUCUCCUCCUAAAGAGUAACGGAGGAGCACGAAGGUUGGCUAAUCCUGGUCGGACAUCAGGAGGUUAGUGCAAUGGCAUAAGCCAGCUUGACUGCGAGCGUGACGGCGCGAGCAGGUGCGAAAGCAGGUCAUAGUGAUCCGGUGGUUCUGAAUGGAAGGGCCAUCGCUCAACGGAUAAAAGGUACUCCGGGGAUAACAGGCUGAUACCGCCCAAGAGUUCAUAUCGACGGCGGUGUUUGGCACCUCGAUGUCGGCUCAUCACAUCCUGGGGCUGAAGUAGGUCCCAAGGGUAUGGCUGUUCGCCAUUUAAAGUGGUACGCGAGCUGGGUUUAGAACGUCGUGAGACAGUUCGGUCCCUAUCUGCCGUGGGCGCUGGAGAACUGAGGGGGGCUGCUCCUAGUACGAGAGGACCGGAGUGGACGCAUCACUGGUGUUCGGGUUGUCAUGCCAAUGGCACUGCCCGGUAGCUAAAUGCGGAAGAGAUAAGUGCUGAAAGCAUCUAAGCACGAAACUUGCCCCGAGAUGAGUUCUCCCUGACCCUUUAAGGGUCCUGAAGGAACGUUGAAGACGACGACGUUGAUAGGCCGGGUGUGUAAGCGCAGCGAUGCGUUGAGCUAACCGGUACUAAUGAACCGUGAGGCUUAACCUUACAACGCCGAAGGUGUUUUG
rnacentral:rRNA from 1 species